UAUAUUUAAGUAUAAGGAUGUACAAAAGUUUUUGAUACUUUAAGAAGUGGUUUAAGUCUGCUAAAUAUAA
rnacentral:tRNA from 1 species